UACGUAGGGUGCGAGCGUUGUCCGGAAUUAUUGGGCGUAAAGAGCUCGUAGGCGGCCUGUCGCGUCGGAUGUGAAAGCCCGGGGCUCAACCCCGGGUCUGCAUUCGAUACGGGCAGGCUGGAGUGUGGUAGGGGAGAUCGGAAUUCCCGGUGUAGCGGUGAAAUGCGCAGAUAUCGGGAAGAACACCCGUGGCGAAGGCGGUUCUCUGGGACGGUACUGACGCUGAGACGCGAAAGCGUGGGGAGCGAACAGG
rnacentral:rRNA from 1 species